rnacentral:rRNA from 1 species
CCCUUAGAUGUCCUGGGCCGCACGCGCGCUACACUGACAUGUUCAACAAGCCUCCUAGUUCGACAGGAUUUGGGAAAUCUUUGAACGCAUGUCGUGAUAGGGAUAGUUCAUUGCAAUUAUUGAUCUUGAACGAGGAAUUCCUAGUAAACGCGAGUCAUCAGCUCGCAUUGAUUACGUCCCUGCCCUUUGUACACACCGCCCGUCGCACCUACCGAUUGAAUGUUUCGGUGAAGAUUCCGGAUAGGACUUUUUUGAUUUAUUUCAAUUCUGUCUUAAAAGCUAUCUAAACCUCAACAUUUAGAGGAAGGUGAAGUCGUAACA